CUAAAAAAACUGUCAAGCUAGCUCUUGCUACUUUGUUUGGACAUGGGAGGGGUGGUCCAAAAUGUCCCACCCCAUGGCAGUCGUGAAGGGAGGGAGAAAAAACAAAAGCCAAAGAAAAAAAACCCACUCUUGUUCUCUCCCAUCACUUUUCAGCAGCUGUGUAACCCUCACUCACCAGCCAUCAUCAGCCAUUGUGAGUAGAUGCAAACCAGUAGCUCCUCAGCAACCGCCAGCAACAACCAGCUACCUCUCAUCAAUCUCCUCUACACCAUGAACAACAGCAGAUCGAGGAUUUGCUUUAUCAGCAACAACCAGCAGCUGAUUCCACCGUGAGUAGAAGUAGAAGAUUAUCUUUAUCCACAGAGCUUCAACAGAGCUUCGGUGCCAAUAAAGUUUCACUCGGUCAACCGGUACUAGUAAGGCUUCAAUCGGUCCACCAGUGGCAACAUCAGCUUCAUCAACUAACAGUCUACGAAGAAGGAUCAGCUUCCUCUCAUCUUCAUUGGACUGAAAAACCAGAAUCAUCAGUCUCCACAAAAGACAACCCAUCACCACUCUCUGCUAGCUGGCGAGUUUUCCCAGGAGAGACGCAUUCAAACGGUAAGAUCACCGAAGAAAGGUUGAGAAUCUGCAGGCAAUUUUGGAUGAAAGAUGCAAAAAGGAGUAAAUUGGAGAUAAUUGGCAGAUUUGACCUUUGGUCGAUGUUUUGUGCAGAGCGUGAGCUCUAGAGGUUGAAAUGAAGUGAUUCUAGUGGUAUUAAAAAGGUAACAUCCAUACCUUUUUGGACAUCUAAGGCAAGAAAAUAAAAUAAGAAAGAGCAUGGAAAUCACAGCCUUCAAAGUCAAAUCUCGCAAUCUGCCAGUGUUGACCUUCGGCCAUUCGAACUUGAAUAUCUGGAGCUACACAAGUCCAAUUGAUGCAAACUCAAGUUUUUUGGAUUCAUGACUCAAAUUUCUAUAAACUCUCAAACUUUCAGGCAAAAAUGAUCUCAUAUGAGGGAGAUAUGAUUUUUCAAAGAUGACAUUUGAAUUCUGCCAGCAAACAGGUUUCGUGAAGAAACGAGUCCAAAUUACGUUCCGAAGCAUCUAAACUGAUAUCCAAGUUUUUAUUUCAGCAAUUUAGCUCCUCUAAGUCAAAGCUUGAAGAUUUCAUGCAAGGUUAUUUCUCCUUUUUUAGGAAAAUAGUUAUUGAAGUACUUAAAUGUAAAUAGUCUACUUAAUGGAGGACUAUUUUGUAAAAUAGAGACCUAGGGUUUCCUAGGAUAUAAAAAGAAUGAGAGAAGAGAAGGGGGGCAGCCAGCCAAGAAGAGAAAAACGCCCCCUUCCUCUAAGAAACCCUAAAUUAUGCAUUCUUCCUUCUUUUUGAUUAGUUGUUCAACAAACAUGCAAGACUAAACACUUUUUCUUGGUUGCAAGGACACGGAAACCUUCGAAUUUCAAGAACUAUGAGAUUUAUUUUACCUUUUCUUUUCAGUUUA